rnacentral:rRNA from 1 species
AGUGAACGCUGGCGGUAGGCCUAACACAUGCAAGUCGAGCGGCAGCACAGUAAGAGCUUGCUCUUACGGGUGGCGAGUGGCGGACGGGUGAGGAAUACAUCGGAAUCUACUUUUUCGUGGGGGAUAACGUAGGGAAACUUACGCUAAUACCGCAUACGACCUACGGGUGAAAGCAGGGGAUCUUCGGACCUUGCGCGAUUGAAUGAGCCGAUGUCGGAUUAGCUAGUUGACGGGGUAAAGGCCCACCAAGGCGACGAUCCGUAGCUGGUCUGAGAGGAUGAUCAGCCACACUGGAACUGAGACACGGUCCAGACUCCUACGGGAGGCAGCAGUGGGGAAUAUUGGACAAUGGGCGCAAGCCUGAUCCAGCCAUACCGCGUGGGUGAAGAAGGCCUUCGGGUUGUAAAGCCCUUUUGUUGGGAAAGAAAAGCAGCAGGUUAAUACCCCGCUGUUCUGACGGUACCCAAAGAAUAAGCACCGGCUAACUUCGUG